rnacentral:lncRNA from 1 species
GUCUGGAAUCACAGGAAUUAAGAGAAACCACAACUUUUCUCAACUCUCAGCGCAACAUAAAACAUGUCAGCACUUGGGAAAAGGCAGGUUUUGAAGCCAGGAGCCCCUCUUCUUGAGAUCUAUUGGCAACCAUCUUGUGAAGGAAGAGCCCAUUGUGUAGGAGGCAGAUGCUGGAGAAAAAGAGACAACAGGGCCGGGUUUUAUCAUUUGAGACUUGAGUAAAGUCAUACCGGAAGUCACACCCAGUCUACCCUGGGAAGCUUGGUUACAAGGGCCAGUAAAUUCCCUUUUCUUUUCUUUUCUUUUCUUUUUUUUCUUUUUUUUUUUUAAGAGAUGGGGGUCUUACUCUGUUUCCCAGGUUACUCUCGAACUCCUGGCCUGAAGCCCCCUGUCUCUGCCUCCCAAAGUUCUGGGAUUACAGGCUUGAGCUACUGUGCCUGACUAAAUUCCCUUUUUGAUUAAGCCUGUUUAGAUUAGGUUUCUUGUCAACCUGCAACUGAAAGAAUUAUCGCCAAUACAAGGUACAAAGUCCUGAAAGGCAGCUGAUCAGAAGGACCCAUUUUAUCUGCCACCACGUGUUUUUGGACAGUGUGCUCAGUUUGGGAUGUAACUUUGGCCUUGGAGACUUGGUCCUGGGGACUCCCAUGUGUGCAGACCUUGCAUUGUCACCCGUGGUGCUUUUUCUCAGCUCCUCCUCUGAGUGGCAGAAGGAACGCUAAAACUCAGAUUUCCUGCUUCCACUGCAGGCCUUUCUUCAGAUGCUGAAUGCCUUUCUACGUUCACUCCGGAAUUAUUAAUAUCGGACUGACACCCCCCUGCUUCCAUCCUCAAUUCCUGUACAUAUAUGCCUG